CGCGGCGAGGCCUCCUUCCCCUCGUCCCAGCCGUAGGAGGACACACAGUUCAAGUCUUCAUGGCAAGUUUUUGCUGCACUGCACUGUGAGGCUGUUUGCUGCAUCUGCUAUUUUCUUCAAGUCUAAUCUCAUUGCUGUUAUAAAGGAAGAUGCCUGCUACGACCGUGUUCGUAGUCUCGUUGAUCAGCUCCGGCCAUGGCUCCGAUUCUUAGUGAGGAAGCCAGUACGAAGUAUAUCACUUUGCUUUUGUUAAUGCACUGAGCCGCUGUGCCAUUUCCGGGCCGCCGUGCCUUCAGAUUCGGCGCUUCAACGGAAGAACGGGGGGACUCGCCCAUCUACUUCGCCAACUCCGGUAACAUGCGCGAGAGGAUCACCAUGAACGGACCAGUGCCAGGGCAAGACCGGCGUGCAGUACAUCGUCCUCAACAUGGGUGCCAUCAGCAGCAUCGUCAGGUGGGGCAUGCUGGAUGAGCUCAAUAAGACCCUGGACAUGAGGGGCAUUCAGGUAAGGACAGAGCAACACAAACUGUCAUGUUUCUGUAGAAAAUAGAGCAUGCUUUUUGUGAUAUGAACCAUGGUUGAUUCAUUGUUUUGUAAACCUAAACUUUUCCAGCAAACGUGGGAGAAAUUUAUAUCCAGUUAGCACAUGGAAAUCUAUAUUCAGAUGAUAUGGCUACUUCAUA